CCUACGGGGAGCAGCAGUGAGGAAUAUUGGUCAAUGGUCGGGAGACUGAACCAGCCAAGCCGCGUGAGGGAUGAAGGUACAGAGUAUCGUAAACCUCUUUUGUCAGGGAACAAAGGCGGGGACGUGUCCCCGGAUGAGUGUACCUGAAGAACAAGCAUCGGCUAACUCCGUGCCAGCAGCCGCGGUAAUACGGAGGAUGCGAGCGUUAUCCGGAUUUAUUGGGUUUAAAGGGUGCGCAGGCGGUCUGUUAAGUCAGCGGUAAAAGCCCGGGGCUCAACCCCGGCCCGCCGUUGAACCUGGCAGUCUCGAGUUGGAGAGAAGGAGGCGGAAUGCGCGGUGUAGCGGUGAAAUGCAUAGAUAUCGCGCAGAACUCCGAUUGCGAAGGCAGCAUGCCGGCUCCACACUGACGCUGAGGCACGAAAGCGUGGGUAUCGAACAGGAUUAGAUACCCCGGUAGUC
rnacentral:rRNA from 1 species